rnacentral:rRNA from 1 species
GAGUUUGAUCAUGGCUCAGGGUGAACGCUGGCGGCAUGGCUAAGGCAUGCAAGUCGAACGUUUUUCGCAAGAAAAGCGUGGCAAACGGGAGAGUAACACAUUAGUAAUCUGCCUCUAUCUCGGGUAUAACCCGGAGAAAUCUGGGACAAUCCCCGAUAGUUAUGGGGGGUCACAAGACAUUCCCAUAUAAAGUUCCGACGGAUAGAGAGGAGCCUAUGGCCCAUCAGCUUGUUGGUAGGGUAAUGGCCUACCAAGGCUACGACGGGUAGCAGGUGUGAGAGCAUGACCUGCCCCACUGGGACUGAGACACUGCCCAGACUCCUACGGGAGGCUGCAGUCACGAAUCUUCCUCAAUGGGCGAAAGCCUGAAGGAGCAAUGCCGCGUGAUCGAUGAAGCUCUUCGGAGUGUAAAGGUCUUUUAUCAGGGACGAAUUUUUGACGGUACCUGAAGAAUAAGUCACUGCUAACUUCGUGCCAGCAGCAGCGGUAAUACGAAGGUGGCGAGCGUUACCCGGAUUGAUUGGGCGUAAAGAGUUCGUAGACGGUUUAAAAAGUUCUUGGUCAAAUCUUGUGGCUCAACUUCAAGACUGCCAAGAAGACUUUUAGACUAGAGACUGGGAGAGGCAAGCGGAAUUGCCGGUGUAGUAGUAAAAUGCGUUGAUAUCGGCAGGAACACCAAAAGCGAAGGCAGCUUGCUAGUACAGUUCUGACGUUGAGGAACGAAAGCGUGGGUAGCGAAUGGGAUUAGAUACCCCAGUAGUCCACGCCGUAAACUAUGGGCGCUAAGCAUUGGAAGUAUCGACCCUUUCAGUGCUGCUUAACUAAGCUAACGCCUAAAGUGCCCCGCCUGGGAAGUACGGCC